CAGGCCUAACACAUGCAAGUCGAACGAAGGCUUCGGCCUUAGUGGCGCACGGGUGCGUAACGCGUGGGAAUCUGCCCUUGGGUCUGGGAUAACAGCGGGAAACGGUUGCUAAUACCGGAUGACGACGAGAGUCCAAAGAUUUAUCGCCGAGGGAUGAGCCCGCGUUGGAUUAGGUAGUUGGUGUGGUAAAGGCGCACCAAGCCGACGAUCCAUAGCUGGUCUGAGAGGAUGAUCAGCCACACUGGGACUGAGACACGGCCCAGACUCCUACGGGAGGCAGCAGUGGGGAAUAUUGGACAAUGGGCGCAAGCCUGAUCCAGCCAUGCCGCGUGAGUGAUGAAGGCGUUGUGCGUUGUAAACUUCUUUUACCAGGGAAGACACCUCAUUAUUCUUAAUGAGUCGACGGUACCUGAGGAAUAAGCACCGGCUAACUCCGUGCCAGCAGCCGCGGUAAU
rnacentral:rRNA from 1 species